GUUGGGUAGGGGAGCGUUCUGUAAGCCUGUGAAGGUGGCCUGUGAGGGUUGCUGGAGGUAUCAGAAGUGCGAAUGCUGACAUAAGUAACGAUAAAGCGGGUGAAAAGCCCGCUCGCCGGAAGACCAAGGGUUCCUGUCCAACGUUAAUCGGGGCAGGGUGAGUCGACCCCUAAGGCGAGGCCGAAAGGCGUAGUCGAUGGGAAACGGGUUAAUAUUCCCGUACUUGGUGUUACUGCGAAGGGGGGACGGAGAAGGCUAUGUUGGCCGGGCGACGGUUGUCCCGGUUUAAGCGUGUAGGUGUGUGUUCCAGGUAAAUCCGGUUCACUUUAACACUGAGGCGUGACGACGAGGCACUACGGUGCUGAAGCAACAAAUGCCCUGCUUCCAGGAAAAGCCUCUAAGCAUCAGGUAACAUCAAAUCGUACCCCAAACCGACACAGGUGGUCAGGUAGAGAAUACCAAGGCGCUUGAGAGAACUCGGGUGAAGGAACUAGGCAAAAUGGUGCCGUAACUUCGGGAGAAGGCACGCUGACACGUAGGUGAAGUGAUUUACUCAUGGAGCUGAAGUCAGUCGAAGAUACCAGCUGGCUGCAACUGUUUAUUAAAAACACAGCACUGUGCAAACACGAAAGUGGACGUAUACGGUGUGACGCCUGCCCGGUGCCGGAAGGUUAAUUGAUGGGGUCAGCGCAAGCGAAGCUCCUGAUCGAAGCCCCGGUAAACGGCGGCCGUAACUAUAACGGUCCUAAGGUAGCGAAAUUCCUUGUCGGGUAAGUUCCGACCUGCACGAAUGGCGUAAUGAUGGCCAGGCUGUCUCCACCCGAGACUCAGUGAAAUUGAACUCGCUGUGAAGAUGCAGUGUACCCGCGGCAAGACGGAAAGACCCCGUGAACCUUUACUAUAGCUUGACACUGAACAUUGAGCCUUGAUGUGUAGGAUAGGUGGGAGGCUUUGAAGUGUGGACGCCAGUCUGCAUGGAGCCGACCUUGAAAUACCACCCUUUAAUGUUUGAUGUUCUAACGUGGACCCGUAAUCCGGGUUGCGGACAGUGUCUGGUGGGUAGUUUGACUGGGGCGGUCUCCUCCUAAAGAGUAACGGAGGAGCACGAAGGUUGGCUAAUCCUGGUCGGACAUCAGGAGGUUAGUGCAAUGGCAUAAGCCAGCUUGACUGCGAGCGUGACGGCGCGAGCAGGUGCGAAAGCAGGUCAUAGUGAUCCGGUGGUUCUGAAUGGAAGGGCCAUCGCUCAACGGAUAAAAGGUACUCCGGGGAUAACAGGCUGAUACCGCCCAAGAGUUCAUAUCGACGGCGGUGUUUGGCACCUCGAUGUCGGCUCAUCACAUCCUGGGGCUGAAGUAGGUCCCAAGGGUAUGGCUGUUCGCCAUUUAAAGUGGUACGCGAGCUGGGUUUAGAACGUCGUGAGACAGUUCGGUCCCUAUCUGCCGUGGGCGCUGGAGAACUGAGGGGGGCUGCUCCUAGUACGAGAGGACCGGAGUGGACGCAUCACUGGUGUUCGGGUUGUCAUGCCAAUGGCACUGCCCGGUAGCUAAAUGCGGAAGAGAUAAGUGCUGAAAGCAUCUAAGCACGAAACUUGCCCCGAGAUGAGUUCUCCCUGAGACUUAGAGUCUCCUGAAGGAACGUUGAAGACGACGACGUUGAUAGGCCGGGUGUGUAAGCGCAGCGAUGCGUUGAGCUAACCGGUACUAAUGAACCGUGAGGCUUAACCUU
rnacentral:rRNA from 6 species